CAGCGCUCUUUGGAUUGCCUGAAAUAAAAUACAAUGCAGCGCAGAGGCAGCACUUCAUGGUAACGUGGGGUGUGGUAGGGCCUGCGGGCUUAGGUCCCUGUUCAGCCCCUGGUCCCGAGCCCCUUGGGAAGGCUUUGGCUGAUCCCUCCUGGGUGUCUUGGUGUGUUUGGACAUCUCACCGUGUGUUUGGACAUCUCAUCGUGGGCUGUUUCCUCCUGUCCCCCUGCCAGCUGGGCUCCCUGGAAGCAGCAGAGGAGCCCUUCUGCUGCCUACACCCCAAAGCCCUCGGGCUGAGAACGGGAAAAUCGGCCCUAAAGCAGCCCUAAGCCGAUCGCAAGGCUCAGAACAAAAGUAUUUAACUCUGGAGCCCUGGAGCUUAGGUGAAUGCCCGCAGGAUCAGCGCUAAUUGCAGCCGUUGUGACCUGCUGAGGUGUGCAGGACCUGAACACCUCCAACGCCGUGAGCCUCUUGGUGAGCAGCCCGGCAGGAGGACGGCCCUGGGUGCCAAAAUAAUCGCAGGCCAGGUAAACCACGGAGGGAUGCGCUGCGUGUCCCGCUGCGGGGCGCGUCCUGGCACGAGUGACUCAUCCUCUGCGAGGCUGAUCCCGUGCUUAGCGAGUCUUAAUUACCUCUCCGCUCCAUGGGCUGGGGGAGGCUAAACACUUCUUCCAUUUUUAAACGAGACGAGGUGCCUGCCUUGUACGUGCUCGCUGCAGUUUUUCCACAGAGCUCGUUGAGACGGGAAGCGGAGGGGUUUUGUUUGGAAAUGCUGCGGCGCUGGGAGCGUGCGGCAACGGGGAGGGGUGGGCUCUGAGGGGAAGCAAUCUACACACACGAGCUGGUGCAAAGUAUGUUUGUGUAGCGACUAAACUGGAUCUAAACAGACCCAAAACAGGGCCCGAGUGGAGGGAGAAGUGACUCGUGAGUUUCGUUUUCCUGUUGGCACGAGAGCCUCUCUCGGUUCCCCAGCCCCUUGCACCGCGUUCCUGUACGGCGCUGUUACCUCCCCGGGCUGAGCAGCGAGGUGAAGCCGACACCUCCUGCCCCCACCAGCCUGAGCGCGGGGCGGGGGGAGGCUGAGGCCAAGGAGUUUCUUUUUAUAGCGUGGCCUGUCCUGUCCUUGGCGUUCCGAGGAGCUCAGUGCCUCCAGGACGCCCGGCAGCGGGCAGGAGGCUUUUGGAGCUGACGCAGGGAGGGCCUGUGCUUGGCUGCCGGGAGCUCCUCGCUCGUCGUGCUGGGAGGAAAGCGUCCUGCCUGAUUUCCAGGAAAACUGUCUGGCUACAACACCCGUGUUAGAGCCAGGCGGGGUUUGUAGGGCAGGGGAGG
rnacentral:lncRNA from 1 species